rnacentral:lncRNA from 1 species
AACUUCUUGUAUCAACAAGUCUGUUUUGUGUCUAUCCACGCAUCAGAGCAGAACCAUGUCAAAGUUUCUCUUGUAUAGCACUUCUUCAUCCAAAAAGAAGUUAUUAGCCAAUCUUCUCAAGGUCUUCUUAUCUUUGCUUGAUGCCCCAGGUGGGUAUUCUUGACUCUGGAGAUAACAUUUGAUGUCAUGGUACCACAGUUUGUCAUCAGGGACUUCUUCCAUUGCAAAUACAUGAGCAGGUCUAUCAAGACGCAUAACAUCGAUCUUAGGCACAUCAUUCCAAC